rnacentral:rRNA from 1 species
CACGUAGUUAGCCGGUGCUUAUUCUUACGGUACCGUCAUGACCUCUCUUUAUUAGAAAGAGGCUUUUCGUUCCGUACAAAAGCAGUUUACAACCCGAAGGCCUUCAUCCUGCACGCGGCAUGGCUGGAUCAGGCUUUCGCCCAUUGUCCAAAAUUCCCCACUGCUGCCUCCCGUAGGAGUCUGGGCCGUGUCUCAGUUCCCAGUGUGGCCUAGUCGUACCCUCUCAGGUACCG